GCCCGGUUAGCUCAAUCGGUAGAGCGUGAGACUCUUACUUAAGUAAUCUCAAGGUUGCGGGUUCGACCCCCGCAUCGGGCU